AACGAACGCUGGCGGCAUGCCUAACACAUGCAAGUCGAACGAGACCUUCCGGCCUAGUGGCGCACGGGUGCGUAACGCGUGGGAACCUGCCCUUAGGUUCGGAAUAACUCCCCGUAAGGGGUGCUAAUACCGGAUAAUGUCUUCGCACCAAAGAUUUAUCGCCUUUGGAUGGGCCCGCGUUGGAUUAGCCAGUUGGUAGGGUAAAAGCCUACCAAGGCGACGAUCCAUAGCUGGUCUGUGAGGAUGAUCAGCCACACUGGGACUGAGACACGGCCCAGACUCCUACGGGAGGCAGCAGUAGGGAAUAUUGGACAAUGGGCGAAGGCCUGAUCCAGCAAUGCCGCGUGAGUGAUGAAGGCCUUAGGGUUGUAAAGCUCUUUUACCCGAGAUGAUAAUGACAGUACCGGGAGAAUAAGCUCCGGCUAACUCCGUG
rnacentral:rRNA from 1 species